UCAAAUCAUGAUUGGUGGGGUAUUGAAUGGGUGACUCCAAAUUCUGUCAAAUCUCUAUUUUUCAGGUGGUAUGGAAAUAGAGUAAGAAAAAAGGAUAAGGCCAUUUGGGUAGCAAAUAUUUUUCGCAGUUCUAUGGUCAAUCUGGUUAGCCAGGAACCAUAUAGUUUUUCAGAAUUUGCAACCUAAUUGGGAUUCCAUCCUCGAUCUUACAAAGAUAAGAGUGGCAUUUUGCGUCAAGGCAAAAACAAAUCUCAUGAAGUAUUUAUUAAUGACUUUGUCUACCAUCUGCAGCAAAUUAGAUUGGGCUCUUCGUGAUUCAGUUUUUGGCUUAUUUGGAUUUUGGUGUGGAAUAUGCUCUGUUUUUGGUGUCAGGUAGUGAAGACUCCUGUUGCCUUUUGCCUUUUGCCUGCUGCUGCAAGUAUGGACAAUUAGGGAUUAAGUUUGUUUACGGUUUGGUAUUGGACUGUUAGAAAUUGGUAUUGGCUAACUUUUCUGAAGUUAAGACAGAGAAGUUUCUAAAGGAUUUAUUGCUCAUGUCAAAGAUUAAAAAAAAAAAAAAAGGCUUCAGAAGCAUAUCAAAAUAGGGAGCAACAGGAGACAUCCAUCUAGGCUCCCUAACCUUAUGUCAGUUUUUGGUCAUUUCGUCUAUUUUUUGACGUUAUAAUAUUCUUUUCACAUUUACUAUUAUUGAAUAUGUCAUUCAACCGAGGUGUUGAAAGCAAGGACUGGCUCAGCCAAACCCCUUGGGUUAAAGGUUUGCUUGAGGUGGGUUUAUGAGCAAGGAGUGAGCGUACUUGUGAAGAGCUUUAACAAAGAGCGGAUGGAAGAAAAUCUUGACAUAUUUGAUUGGACACUAAGCCCUGAAGAGUCUAAGAAGAUUAAUCAAAUUCCCCAACAAAAAGGGUGUCCUGGACUCGAGUUCACAUCCGACCAAGGCCCCUAUAAAUAUGUUGAGGAGCUUUGGGAUGAAAAGAUCUAAUGCUAUGUUAAGCAGUUCCAUCUGGUAAUGAAUAAGUUGGAGAGACUGUUAUGACUUUUUAAGGUUAUAAUUUGAAGGAAAAAAUUGUUGCUUUUGGUUUAUUGUGAAAGGACAUUCUCAAUACAAGAGAUUUCUGUCACUGCAGAUAUAGUGAUUAUUAGAUGUAUGUUGACUUACUUCUACGUAAAAAGACUUUUAUAUUUUGUUUGUUUGUAUUUUGAUUUUUCAACUUAAUUUUGUUC